CAAUGAAAUAUUUGCCUUCGGCAAAUGUGAAAUAUCGGCUGAUGAAUCAGCCGAUGUGAAAUAUUGAACGGCAAG
rnacentral:misc_RNA from 1 species